rnacentral:rRNA from 1 species
AAUUUUGGACAAUGGGGGAAACCCUGAUCCAGCCAUCCCGCGUGUAUGAUGAAGGCCUUCGGGUUGUAAAGUACUUUUGGCAGAGAAGAAAAGGUAUCCCCUAAUACGGGAUACUGCUGACGGUAUCUGCAGAAUACGCAAGGGCUAACUACGUGGCAGCAGCCGCGGUAAUCCGUAGGGUGCAAGCGGUAAUCGGAAUUACGGGGCGUAAAACGUGUGUAGGCGGUUCUGAAAAAAAGAAGUGAAAUCCCAGCGCUCAACCUUGGAACUGCAUUUUUAACUGCCGAGCUAGAGUAUGUCAGAGGGGGGUAGAAUUCCACGUGUAGCAGUGAAAUGCGUAGAUAUGUGGAGGAAUACCGAUGGCGAAGGCAGCCCCCUGGGAUAAUACUGACGCUCAGACACGAAAGCGUGGGGAGCAAACAGG